rnacentral:rRNA from 1 species
AUUGAACGCUGGCGGCAUGCUUUACACAUGCAAGUCGAACGGUAACAGGCCGCAAGGUGCUGACGAGUGGCGUACGGGUGCGUAAUGCAUCCGAGCGUGCCCAGUCGUGGGGGAUAACUACUCGAAAGAGUAGCUAAUACCGCAUACGAUCUAUGGAUGAAAGCGGGGGACCGUAAGGCCUCGCGCGAUUGGAGCGGCCGGUGUCAGAUUAGGUAGUUGGUGGGGUAAAGGCUCACCAAGCCAACGAUCUGUAGCUGGUCUGAGAGGACGACCAGCCACACUGGGACUGAGACACGGCCCAGACUCCUACGGGAGGCAGCAGUGGGGAAUUUUGGACAAUGGGCGCAAGCCUGAUCCGGCAAUGCCGCGUGCAGGAAGAAGGCCUUCGGGUUGUAAACUGCUUUUGUACGGAACGAAACGGCUCUGGUUAAUACCCGGGGCUAAUGACGGUACCGUAAGAAUAAGCACCGGCUAACUACGUG